AACGUAGGUACCGAGCGUUAUCCGGAUUCACUGGGCGUAAAGCGCGUGCAGGUGGUUUGGUAAGUCGGGCAUGAAAACUCUUGGCUCAACUGAGAGACGCUGUCCGAUACUGCCGGACUUGAGGGCAUAAGAGGGAGGUGGAAUUCCGCAUGUAGUGGUGAAAUGCGUAGAUAUGCGGAGGAACACCAGUGGCGAAGGCGGCCUCCUGGUAUGCUCCUGACACUCAGACGCGAAAGCUAGGGGAGCGAACGGGAUUAGAAACCCUCGUAGUCC
rnacentral:rRNA from 1 species